rnacentral:rRNA from 1 species
GACGAACGCUGGCGGCGUGCUUAACACAUGCAAGUCGAACGGAAAGGCCCUGCUUUUGUGGGGUGCUCGAGUGGCGAACGGGUGAGUAACACGUGAGUAACCUGCCCUUGUCUUUGGGAUAACUUCAGGAAACUGGGGCUAAUACCGGAUAGGAGCUCCUGCUGCAUGGUGGGGGUUGGAAAGUUUCGGCGGUUGGGGAUGGACUCGAGGCUUAUCGGCUUGUUGGUGGGGUAGUGGCUUACCAAGGCUUUGACGGGUAGCCGGCCUGAGAGGGUGACCGGCCACAUUGGGACUGCGAUACGGCCCAGACUCCUACGGGAGGCAGCAGUGGGGAAUAUGGCACAAUGGGCGGAAGCCUGAUGCAGCAACGCCGCGUGCGGGAUGACGUCCUUCGGGUUGUAAACCGCUGUCGCCUGUGACGAAGCGUGAGUGACGGUAAUGGGUAAAGAAGCACCGGCUAACUACGUG